CCUACGGGUGGCAGCAGUGAGGAAUAUUGGUCAAUGGGCGCAAGCCUGACCCAGCAAUGCCGCGUGAAGGAAGAAGGCUCUCGGGUUGUAAACUCCUUUUAUCAGGGACGAAGGAUGUGACGGUACCUGAUGAAUAAGCUCCGGCUAACUACGCGCCAGCAGCCGCGGUACUACGUAGGGAGCAAGCGUUAUCCGGAUGUACUGGGAGUAAAGGGCGCGUAGGCGGGAUAGCAAGUCAGAUGUGAAAUCCAGGGGCUCAACCCCAGAACUGCAUUUGAAACUGUCGUUCUUGAGUACUGGAGAGGUAGACGGAAUUCCUGGUGUAGGGGUAAAAUGCGUAGAGAUUAGGAGGAACACCAGUGGCGAAGGCGAUCAGCUGGACAGCAACUGACGCUGAGGCGCGAAAGCGUGGGGAGCAAACAGGAUUAGAUACCCGGGUAGUC
rnacentral:rRNA from 1 species